GAUCCUGACUCAGGAUGAACGCUAGCGGCAGGCUUAACACAUGCAAGUCGAGGGGCAGCAUAAUGGAUAGCAAUAUCUAUGGUGGCGACCGGCGCACGGGUGCGUAACGCGUAUGCAACCUACCUUUAACAGGGGGAUAACACUGAGAAAUUGGUACUAAUACCCCAUAACAUCAUGAAAAGCAUCUUUUAUUGGUUUGGUAAAAUUAACCGUACUGGUUUAGGUAGAUGGGCGAUGCGUUGUUAUUAG
rnacentral:rRNA from 1 species